GAUGAACGCUGGCGGCGUGCUUAACACAUGCAAGUCGAACGAAGCAUGUAAGUGGAUCCCUUCGGGGUGAAGCUUACAUGACUUAGUGGCGGACGGGUGAGUAACGCGUGGGUAACCUGCCUCAUACAGGGGGAUAACAGUUGGAAACGACUGCUCAGACCGCAUAACCCGCUAGUGUCGCAUGACACGGCCGGAAAAUGUUUUUAGGUAGGAGAUGGGCCCGCGUCUGAUUAGCUAGUGGGUGGGGUAAUGGCCUACCAAGGCAACGAUCAGUAGCCGACUUGAGAGAGUGAUCGGCCACAUUGGGACUGAGACACGGCCCAAACUCCUACGGGAGGCAGCAGUGGGGAAUAUUGCACAAUGGGCGAAAGCCUGAUGCAGCGACGCCGCGUGAGUGAAGAAGUAUUUCGGUAUGUAAAGCUCUAUCAGCAGGGAAGAUAAUGACAGUACCUGACUAAGAAGCCCCGGCUAACUACGUGCCAGCCGCCGCCGUAAAAC
rnacentral:rRNA from 1 species